UCUGGAAACCAUAGAGCUGUGGCACCACCUGAUCCCAUUCCGAACUCAGAAGUGAAACACAGUAUCGCCGAUGGUAGUAUGGGGUCUCCCCAUGUGAGAGUAGGUCAUUUCCAGGC
rnacentral:rRNA from 1 species